UCUUUCCUCUUUUCUCCUCCUCUCUCUUUGCCGCUUUCACAGCCUAGUUUUCUUUUUUUCUCAAUCUUGUGUGCAGGUUGUAUCUGACAGAGAGAGGACCACCGCCACGCUCCAGCCCCGCUCCAACCCACUGGUUUGUUAGUAUCAACAGUGAGUGAAUCACACAGCUUUGGCCCGUCCGGCGUUACCUGUACAUGGAGACCCCCAGCUGGGCAGGAAACACGUUGUGUAAAUCAGGAAGUAUUGCUGUCUUCGGGAACGUGGUGUACAGCGGGCUGCUCAACGAGCACCUCUGGCAUUUAGGAGUUCCCCUCUUCACGA